UUUGGAUUGGCGUUUAUUGGUCA
rnacentral:snRNA from 1 species